GCUUUUUCUACAGGGUGGAUUUACCGAUCAGCAUUUUGACCAGGAUUUGAAUUUUCAUGCUACUGAAGAAGAUCCUGUUACAAAGAAGACUGCGAAGAGGCUGCUUCUCAAUAUUAAGCAAAAAGACAUUGGUUCCUUAAUUACAAGCUCCCCUGGUGAGGAUCCGAAGAUGUUGGCGAAUUUCUAAGAUCUUCU